UACGGAGGGUGCAAGCGUUGUUCGGAAUCACUGGGCGUAAAGCGCGUGUAGGCGGCCUGAUAAGUCGAGUGUGAAAGUCCGAGGCUUAACCUCGGAAGUGCAUUCGAAACUGUCAGGCUUGAGUACGGGAGAGGGAAGCGGAAUUCCUGGUGUAGAGGUGAAAUUCGUAGAUAUCAGGAGGAACACCGGUGGCGAAGGCGGCUUCCUGGACCGAUACUGACGCUGAGACGCGAAAGCGUGGGGAGCAAACAGG
rnacentral:rRNA from 1 species